rnacentral:rRNA from 1 species
CACGUAGGGGGCAAGCGUUGUCCGGAUUUAUUGGGCGUAAAGAGCUCGUAGGCGGUUCGGUAAGUUGGGUGUGAAACCUCCAGGCUCAACCUGGAGACGCCACCCGAUACUGCUGUGACUAGAGUCCGGUAGGGGAGCGUGGAAUUCCUGGUGUAGCGGUGAAAUGCGCAGAUAUCAGGAGGAACACCAAUUGCGAAGGCAGCUCGCUGGGACGUUACUGACGCUGAGACGCGAAAGCGUGGGGAGCAAACAGG